GAGAGGUGCUGCAUGGCUGUCGUCAGCUCGUGUUGUGAAAUGUUGGGUUAAGUCUCGCAACGAGCGCAACCCCUAUCGUCUGUUGCCAGCAUUAAGUUGGGCACUCUGGCGAGACUGCCUGGGUUAACCAGGAGGAAGGUGGGGACGACGUCAAGUCCUCACGGCCCUUAUGUCUAGGGCUACACACGUAAUACAAUGGCGCGUACAAAGGAAAGCGAACUCGCAAGGGGGAGCAAAUCUCAAAAAGUGCGCCUCAGUUCGGAUUGAAGUCUGCAACUCGACUUCAUGAAGUUGGAAUCGCUAGUA
rnacentral:rRNA from 1 species